rnacentral:lncRNA from 1 species
CCAACAAGUUGCUAAAGAGGAUAGACGGUGUCUGGAGGUCCGGCUGUCAACUGCACCCUUCCAUCUGCCCCAGACUAUAAUAAAAUCAUUUCCCAUAUCCCUAUCCUGAACGACCCCCACUCCCAUUACUAAAAGGAAUUUGGAGAAUACGCACUGUGUGAACAAGUGGUCCAUAGUUUCCUCAUUAGCCCCACACAGUACACAGGUGAUAUCUCCAAUCCACCCUCUCUUCAUUAGGUUGUCAGCUGUAAGGAGUCUCUUCCUGAGUGCCAACCAACAGAACACUUUAACUUUUAGCGGUAUUCGAAAUUUCCAAACCUUGCUUGCACGAGUG